rnacentral:rRNA from 1 species
GAUGAACGCUGGCGGCGUGCCUAAUACAUGCAAGUCGAGCGAACGGACGAGAAGCUUGCUUCUCUGAUGUUAGCGGCGGACGGGUGAGUAACACGUGGAUAACCUACCUAUAAGACUGGGAUAACUUCGGGAAACCGGAGCUAAUACCGGAUAAUAUUUUGAACCGCAUGGUUCAAAAGUGAAAGACGGUCUUGCUGUCACUUAUAGAUGGAUCCGCGCUGCAUUAGCUAGUUGGUAUGGUAACGGCUUACCAAGGCAACGAUGCAUAGCCGACCUGAGAGGGUGAUCGGCCACACUGGAACUGAGACACGGUCCAGACUCCUACGGGAGGCAGCAGUAGGGAAUCUUCCGCAAUGGGCGAAAGCCUGACGGAGCAACGCCGCGUGAGUGAUGAAGGUCUUCGGAUCGUAAAACUCUGUUAUUAGGGAAGAACAUAUGUGUAAGUAACUGUGCACAUCUUGACGGUACCUAAUCAGAAAGCCACGGCUAACUACGUG